GGAAACUGGAAUUAAUACCGCAUACGCCCUACGGGGGAAAGAUUUAUCGGGGAAGGAUUGGCCCGCGUUGGAUUAGCUAGUUGGUGGGGUAAAGGCCUACCAAGGCGACGAUCCAUAGCUGGUCUGAGAGGAUGAUCAGCCACAUUGGGACUGAGACACGGCCCAAACUCCUACGGGAGGCAGCAGUGGGGAAUAUUGGACAAUGGGCGCAAGCCUGAUCCAGCCAUGCCGCGUGAGUGAUGAAGGCCUUAGGGUUGUAAAGCUCUUUCACCGAUGAAGAUAAUGACGGUAGUCGGAGAAGAAGCCCCGGCUAACUUCGUGCCAGCAGCCGCGGUAAUACGAAGGGGGCUAGCGUUGUUCGGAAUUACUGGGCGUAAAGCGCACGUAGGCGGAUAUUUAAGUCAGGGGUGAAAUCCCGCAGCUCAACUGCGGAACUGCCUUUGAUACUGGGUAUCUUGAGUAUGGAAGAGGUAAGUGGAAUUCCGAGUGUAGAGGUGAAAUUCGUAGAUAUUCGGAGGAACACCAGUGGCGAA
rnacentral:rRNA from 1 species